CCCAGAGCCCCCAACACACCCAGAGCCCCCAACACACACACCAGAGCCCCCAACACACACACCAGAGCCAACACACACACCAGAGCCAACACACACACACCAGAGCCAACACACACACACCAGAGCCAACACACACACACCAGAGCCCACACACACACCAGAGCCCCCAACACACACACCAGAGCCCCUAAUACACCAGAGCCCCCAACACACACAGAGCCCCCAACACAUACACCAGAGUCUCCAACACACACACACCAGAGCCCCCACACACACACCAGAGCCCCCAACAUACACACACACACCAGAGCCCCCAACACACACACCAGAGCCAACACACAUACACCAGAGCCCUUCAACACACACAGAGCCAACACAUACACCAGAGCCUCCAACACAUACACACCAGAGCCCCCAACACACACACACACACACA
rnacentral:lncRNA from 1 species